GAGUUUGAUCCUGGCUCAGAACGAACGCUGGCGGCAUGCCUAACACAUGCAAGUCGAACGGGAUCCAUCCUUCGGGGUGGUGAGAGUGGCGGACGGGUGAGUAACGCGUGGGAACCUGCCCAGUGGUGGGGGAUAACUGCGGGAAACUGCAGCUAAUACCGCAUGAGCCCGAGAGGGGAAAGAUUUAUCGCCAUUGGAGGGGCCCGCGUUCGAUUAGGUAGUUGGUGGGGUAAUGGCCUACCAAGCCGACGAUCGAUAGCUGGUCUGAGAGGAUGAUCAGCCACACUGGGACUGAGAUACGGCCCAGACUCCUACGGGAGGCAGCAGUGGGGAAUAUUGGACAAUAGGGGCAACCCUGAUCCAGCAAUGCCGCGUGAGUGAUGAAGGCCUUCGGGUUGUAAAGCUCUUUUGCCAGGGACGAUGAUGACGGUACCUGGAGAAUAA
rnacentral:rRNA from 1 species